CAUGUCCUUUUGUCUAUAAAUAUAAGGUCUAACCUGCCCAAUGAUUUUAAAUUUAAUGGCCGCGGUAUUUUAACUGUGCUAAGGUAGCAUAAUCACUUGUCUUUUAAUUAAAGGCUAGAAUGAAUGGUUGGACGAAGUAUGUGCUUUCUUUAAUUUAAUUUUUUGAAUUUAAUUUUUUAGUUAAAAAGCUAAAAUUUAUUUGAGGGACGAGAAGACCCUAUAGAUCUUUAUAUUAAAUUGUAUUUCUUAUAUUGGAGAAUAAGAAUAUGUUGAUAUUUAAUAAUAUUUGAUUGGGGCGAUUAUAGAAUUAUUUUAACUUCUAUUUUUAGAUUAUCACAAAUUAGUGUUAAAUUGAUCCAGCAUUGCUGAUUAAAAGAUUAAGUUACCUUAGGGAUAACAGCGUAAUUUCUUUGGAGAGUUCUUAUCGAUAAAGUAGUUUGCGACCUCGAUGUUGGAUUAAAAUAAGUAUAAGGUGCAGAAGCUUUAUUACUAGGUCUGUUCGACCUUUAAUUUUUUACAUGAUC
rnacentral:rRNA from 1 species